rnacentral:rRNA from 1 species
CAGCAGCCGCGGUAAUACAGAGGGUGCAAGCGUUAAUCGGAAUUACUGGGCGUAAAGCGCGCGUAGGUGGUUUGUUAAGUUGGAUGUGAAAUCCCCGGGCUCAACCUGGGAACUGCAUCCAAAACUGGCAAGCUAGAGUAUGGUAGAGGGUGGUGGAAUUUCCUGUGUAGCGGUGAAAUGCGUAGAUAUAGGAAGGAACACCAUUGGCGAAGGCGACCACCUGGACUGAUACUGACACUGAGGUGCGAAAGCGUGGGGAGCAAACAGGAUUAGAUACCCCCGUAGUCCCUGUCUCUUAUAC